rnacentral:rRNA from 1 species
GACAGAGGAUGCGAGUGUUAUCCGGAAUUAUUGGGCGUAAAGCGUUUGUAGGUGGAAUUCUUAGCCCUUUGUAAAAUUUUUAAGAAAUAAGGUUAACUUGGAGUUAGCAAAGGGUACUAAUUUUCUCGAGCAUGGUUAAGGUUUUGGAAAUUUCCAGUGUAGCAAUGAAAUGCUGAGAUAUUGGAAAGAACACCAUUAGCGAAGGCACUUUUCUAGACUAUGGCUGACACUGAGAAACGAAAGCUAAGGGAACAAACGGG